rnacentral:rRNA from 1 species
GCUCAGAUUGAACGCUGGCGGCAGGCUUAACACAUGCAAGUCGAGCGGAGUGAUGGUGCUUGCACUAUCACUUAGCGGCGGACGGGUGAGUAAUGCUUAGGAAUCUGCCUAUUAGUGGGGGACAACAUUUCGAAAGGAAUGCUAAUACCGCAUACGUCCUACGGGAGAAAGCAGGGGAUCUUCGGACCUUGCGCUAAUAGAUGAGCCUAAGUCGGAUUAGCUAGUUGGUGGGGUAAAGGCCUACCAAGGCGACGAUCUGUAGCGGGUCUGAGAGGAUGAUCCGCCACACUGGGACUGAGACACGGCCCAGACUCCUACGGGAGGCAGCAGUGGGGAAUAUUGGACAAUGGGCGCAAGCCUGAUCCAGCCAUGCCGCGUGUGUGAAGAAGGCCUUAUGGUUGUAAAGCACUUUAAGCGAGGAGGAGGCUACUGAAGUUAAUACCUUCAGAUA